AGCUCCAAUAGCGUAUAUUAAAGUUGUUGCAGUUAAAAAGCUCGUAGUUGGAUUUCUGUUUUGAAUAUUCGGCCGGUUCUCUUGGAGAAUGUGUGCUUUUGAAUAUUUGGAACAUUUUUUGCGAGGAUGUUUUUCUGUCAUUAAGUUGAUGGUUAAAUGGACUUGCAUCGUUUACUGUGAAAAAAUUAGAGUGUUUCAAGCAGGCGUUUGCUCAUUGAAUACAUUAGCAUGGAAUAAUAAGAUAUGACUAUGGUGGUCUAUUUUGUUGGUUUGCACACCAAAGUAAUGAUUAAUAGGGACAGUUGGGGGUAUUCAUAUUUCAGCGUCAGAGGUGAAAUUCUUGGAUCGCUGAAAGAUGAGCUUAGGCGAAAGCAUUUACCAAGGAUGUUUUCA
rnacentral:rRNA from 1 species